GGUCUAGUGGUUGAGACACCAGGCUGGAAACCAGGAAAGUGUAAGUUCUAGUCCUAC
rnacentral:tRNA from 1 species